rnacentral:sRNA from 1 species
UAGGCUCAGUAUCAAGCCCGGGCUUGAAGGUAACAGACCCAUAGAAAUUAAAAUUUUCGGUAAAAUGUAAAAUUUUAAUAUCGUGAUAAAAAAAUUAUGUGAUUGUCUAGCAUUUCUUGUCGUCUUUAAUAUUUCGGAAUAUCAAAAUUUUCAAAAAGAAAGACUUGCAAGCAUCAAAGUGCCAAUAUAUUUGAUCUUUUAGAUAUUUUAAGCCAUCACCGUGUCUAUUAUUUUAGUCGCCAAAGCUCAGGAGUUGUAGGAAACUGAUUCGCAGAUACUUUGCCGAAAUACAAGACCCCCGAAAGAUGCACUCUAUACGGUUCGAAUAGGGAGGAUAUAUAAUAAUAAUGCCAAGUAGCUGGAUCGAUUAUAACUGAAGAGAUCGAGGUUCAAGAUACACCGAACAAUGGCUUAGUAUUUGGUCAGGGCUUUUGCGGAGGGUCUUUCUUUGAAUGGAUAACCAUGCCAUCGUAACUCUCUCUCGGACCUCAUAUGGGCUGCCAGAUUUUUGUAUAAAAUGAAUGUAAAAUCCAUAACAAGCUGAAAAUCCAAA